AUAACUUUGGAUGGGCUCGGUUUGACAAAGAAGUAGGAUAGAAAAAGUAAGUGAUGGAGAUGAAUAAUAGAACUUAAACAUCAAGAAAGAUUCGAUAUUAUAACGAGUAUCGCCCCAAAUCUUAUAUAGUUUAAGGUGACAGUUGGGAAUAGGUUGAUGGACCUCGACCCGUUACUUAGCAGAGUAGGAACCGAAGGUAUAUUUAGAUGGAUGAACGCUACACCAGAGUUGGUGAUAAGUUCAGAAACAAGUU
rnacentral:lncRNA from 1 species